GGGUAGUUUGACUGGGGCGGUCUCCUCCUAAAGAGUAACGGAGGAGCACGAAGGUUGGCUAAUCCUGGUCGGACAUCAGGAGGUUAGUGCAAUGGCAUAAGCCAGCUUGACUGCGAGCGUGACGGCGCGAGCAGGUGCGAAAGCAGGUCAUAGUGAUCCGGUGGUUCUGAAUGGAAGGGCCAUCGCUCAACGGAUAAAAGGUACUCCGGGGAUAACAGGCUGAUACCGCCCAAGAGUUCAUAUCGACGGCGGUGUUUGGCACCUCGAUGUCGGCUCAUCACAUCCUGGGGCUGAAGUAGGUCCCAAGGGUAUGGCUGUUCGCCAUUUAAAGUGGUACGCGAGCUGGGUUUAGAACGUCGUGAGACAGUUCGGUCCCUAUCUGCCGUGGGCGCUGGAGAACUGAGGGGGGCUGCUCCUAGUACGAGAGGACCGGAGUGGACGCAUCACUGGUGUUCGGGUUGUCAUGCCAAUGGCACUGCCCGGUAGCUAAAUGCGGAAGAGAUAAGUGCUGAAAGCAUCUAAGCACGAAACUUGCCCCGAGAUGAGUUCUCCCUGACUCCUUGAGAGUCCUGAAGGAACGUUGAAGACGACGACGUUGAUAGGCCGGGUGUGUAAGCGCAGCGAUGCGUUGAGCUAACCGGUACUAAUGAACCGUGAGGCUUAACCUUACAACGCCGAAG
rnacentral:rRNA from 3 species